rnacentral:tRNA from 3 species
GCCUUGGUGGUGAAAUGGUAGACACACAGGACUUAAAAUCCUGUGGGAGCAAUCCCGUGCCGGUUCGAGUCCGGCCCGAGGCACCA